CAGCCGCAGCGGACGGAGCGCGUCUGCAAACAGACGGGAGGAUACGGGACCCGCUCCUGCUCUGAAAUGCACUAACCGUACGCAUCAAAUACAAAAACGGACUAUCUAUUCUUAAGCUUAUAACUGCUUAUUUUAAUGCUUUGCGGAUCUCCUGGGGGGAAAGCAGUGGGAAAAAGCUCUCCAGCUGUGGCUGCCGGGUGUUCUCACGCCCCCUUGUGGAUCCUCGGAGGAUCGCGUCGCCGGAGAUGCGGGGGGGGAGUAUCCAGGAGCACCAUGACUGCGUUGUGAGUGGAUGUCCCAAAACCUGUGCGCUCAAGGCUACCCCUCCCCGGACUUGGUGGCUGGCGUGAGGGGGGGGAUGAGCAGCUUGGCGUUGGUCGACAAGAAGGAGAAUCAC